rnacentral:misc_RNA from 1 species
CAGAGUUGAAAGACUCCCAAAACCCACUGUGAACAUACCGAUCUGUUGCUUCGGCAGGCGGCCCCAGGGCGGGGCCACCGCCUUCUCGGCGCCUGCCGGAGGACCCCAAACUCUGAAUGUUAGUGUCGUCUGAGUACUAUACAAUAGUUA